AUCCAGCCGACGAGUCCCAAAUAGGACAAAACGGGCGUCCUGGAU
rfam:Schistosoma rodhaini strain Burundi genome assembly, scaffold: SROB_scaffold0000080